UACGUAGGGUCCAAGCGUUAUCCGGAAUCACUGGGCGUAAAGCGUCUGUAGGUGGCUUUUAAGUCCGCCGUCAAAUCCCAGGGCUCAACCCUGGACAGGCGGUGGAAACUACCAAGCUGGAGUGACGGUAGGGGCAGAGGGAAUUUCCGGUGGAGCGGUGAAAUGCGUAGAGAUCGGAAAGAACACCAACGGCGAAAGCACUCUGCUGGGCCGACACUGACACUGAGAGACGAAAGCUAGGGAGCGAAUGGGAUUAGA
rnacentral:rRNA from 1 species